rnacentral:tRNA from 1 species
GUCUGGGUGGCUCAGUCGGUUGAGCGUCCGACUUUAGCUCAGGUCAUGAUCUCACCUCACGGUCCGUGGGUUCGAGCCCCACGUCGGACU